rnacentral:rRNA from 1 species
UGAGGAAUAUUGGUCAAUGGGCGAGAGCCUGAACCAGCCAAGUCGCGUGAGGGAAGACGGUCCUAUGGAUUGUAAACCUCUUUUGUCGGGGAGCAAAAAGGCCUCGUGAGGCCACAAGCGAGAGUACCCGAAGAAAAAGCAUCGGCUAACUCCGUGCCAGCAGCCGCGGUAAUACGGAGGAUGCGAGCGUUAUCCGGAUUUAUUGGGUUUAAAGGGUGCGUAGGCGGACUGGAAAGUCAGCGGUAAAAUCGAGAGGCUCAACCUCUUUCCGCCGUUGAAACUGUCGGUCUUGAGUGGGCGAGAAGUAUGCGGAAUGCGUGGUGUAGCGGUGAAAUGCAUAGAUAUCACGCAGAACUCCGAUUGCGAAGGCAGCAUACCGGCGCCCAACUGACGCUGAGGCACGAAAGCGUGGGUAUCGAACAGG